GGGGAUGUAGCUCAGGGGUAGAGCACUUGCCUCUCAUGCACAAGGUCCUGGGUUUGAUCCCUAGCACCA
rnacentral:tRNA from 1 species